rfam:Bacillus sp. B-jedd genome assembly, contig: CONTIG000001
AAGCCCUUUAAAAGCAGUCCAGUGAGGCUGGGAAGGAAACGGAUAAUGUAGCCCCAAAUAGGGCGCAAUGCACGGUUUUCCAACCUCCCGCACGAGCUGCGGGAGGUUUUUUCAU